GAAGUUCGUCAGGCAAUCGCUGCACGUUUUGGCGUGUGGAGGAAAGUCCGGGCCCCGCAGGGCAGGAUGCCGGCUAACAGCCGGGCGCCGCGAGGCGACGGAAAGUGCAACAGAGAAUAGACCGCCGAUGGCUUCCGCCAGGAAGAUCAGGUAAGGGUGAAACGGUGAGGUAAGAGCUCACCGCAGGACUGGCGACAGGACUGGCACGGCAAACCCCAUCCGGGGCAAGGCCAAAUAGGGGGGCGAUAGCGUGGCUCGCGCUGCUCCCGGGUAGGCUGCUUGAGCGUCGCGGCAACGCGUCGCCCAGAGGAAUGAUUGCCCGGCAGCCCUGGCAUGCCAGGGCUGCUCGACAGAACCCGGCUUAUCGACGAGCUUCCCGC
rnacentral:RNase_P_RNA from 1 species